rnacentral:rRNA from 1 species
CUCCAGACUCCUACGGGAGGCAGCAGUGGGGAAUAUUGCACAAUGGGGGAAACCCUGAUGCAGCGACGCCGCGUGAAGGAAGAAGUAUUUCGGUAUGUAAACUUCUAUCAGCAGGGAAGAAAAUGACGGUACCUGACUAAGAAGCCCCGGCUAACUACGUGCCAGCAGCCGCGGUAAUACGUAGGGGGCAAGCGUUAUCCGGAUUUACUGGGUGUAAAGGGAGCGUAGGCGGUUUAGCAAGUCAGAAGUGAAAGCCCGGGGCUCAACUCCGGGACUGCUCUGGAAACUGUGCAGCUAGAGUGCAGGAGAGGCAGGCGGAAUUCCUAGUGUAGCGGUGAAAUGCGUAGAUAUUAGGAGGAACACCGGUGGCGAAGGCGGCCUGCUGGACUGUAACUGACGUUGAGGCUCGAAAGCGUGGGGAGCAAACAGGAUUAGAUACCCUCGUA